rnacentral:rRNA from 1 species
AGUGAACGCUGGCGGUAGGCCUAACACAUGCAAGUCGAACGGCAGCACAGUAAGAGCUUGCUCUUACGGGUGGCGAGUGGCGGACGGGUGAGGAAUACAUCGGAAUCUACUUUUUCGUGGGGGAUAACGUAGGGAAACUUACGCUAAUACCGCAUACGACCUACGGGUGAAAGCAUGGGAUCUUCGGACCUUGCGCGAUUGAAUGAGCCGAUGUCGGAUUAGCUAGUUGGCGGGGUAAAGGCCCACCAAGGCGACGAUCCGUAGCUGGUCUGAGAGGAUGAUCGGCCACACUGGAACUGAGACACGGUCCAGACUCCUACGGGAGGCAGCAGUGGGGAAUAUUGGACAAUGGGCGCAAGCCUGAUCCAGCCAUACCGCGUGGGUGAAGAAGGCCUUCGGGUUGUAAAGCCCUUUUGUUGGGAAAGAAAAGCAGCAGGUUAAUACCCCGCUGUUCUGACGGUACCCAAAGAAUAAGCACCGGCUAACUUCGUG